UAUAAGAGACAGCAGUAGCCGCGGUAAUACGUAGGUGGCAAGCGUUGUCCGGAAUUAUUGGGCGUAAAGCGCGCGCAGGCGGUCUCUUAAGUCUGAUGUGAAAGCCCCCGGCUUAACCGGGGAGGGUCAUUGGAAACUGGGAGACUUAGAGUGCAGAAGAGGAGAGUGGAAUUCCAUGUGUAGCGGUGAAAUGCGUAGAUAUUGGGAGGAACACCAGUGGCGAAGGCGGCUUUCUGGACUGCAACCGACGCUGAGGCUCGAAAGCCAGGGGAGCGAACGGGAUUAGAUACCCCAGUAGUCCCUGUCUCUUAUA
rnacentral:rRNA from 1 species